UAGGUGUCUAAUGUUCUGAUAAAACACUGA
rnacentral:piRNA from 1 species